rnacentral:lncRNA from 1 species
GGGAUGGAACCCAGGGCUGGAACCCAGAGCCAGAACGGAUCCCAGAGCUGGAACCCGGAGCUGGAACCCAGGGCUGGAUCCCAGAGAUGGAAUGGAUCCCAGAUUCCAGAGCCAGAAUGGAACCCAGAGCUGGAUCCCAGAGCCAGAAUGGAUCCCAGAGCUGGAACCCGGAGCUGGAACCCAGAGCCAGAUUGGAUCCCAGAGCCAGAACGGAUCCCAGAGCUGGAACCCAGAGCCAGAAUGGAUCCCAGAUUCCAGAGCCAGAUCCAAGACCCAGAUCCCAGAUGCCAGAGCCAGGAUGGAACCCAGGGCUGGAACCCAGAGCUGGAACCCAGAGCCAGAUCCAGGACCCAGAUCCCAGAUCCCAGAGCCAGAAUGGAUCCCAGAGCUGGAACCCGGAGCUGGAAUGGAUCCCAGAGCCAGAAUGGAUCCCAGAUCCCAGAGCUGGAUCCCAGACUCCAGAGCCAGAUCCAAGACCCAGAUCCCAGAUGCCAGAGCCAGAAUGGAACCCAGAGCUGGAACCCAGAGCUGGAACGGAUCCCAGAGCUGGAUCCCAGAGCUGGAUCCCAGAGCCAGAACAGAUCCCAGAUCCCAGAGCUGGAUCCCAGAUUCCAGAGCCGGAUCCAAGACCCAGAUCCCAGAUUCCAGAGCCAGAAUGGAACCCAGAGCUGGAACCCAAAGCUGGAACCCAGAGCCAGAUCCAAGACCCAGAUCCUGGAUCUCAGAGCCAGAAUGGAUCCCAGAGCUGGAACCCAAAGCUGGAACCCAGAGCCAGAUCCAAGACCCAGAUCCUGGAUCUCAGAGCCAGAAUGGAUCCCAGAGCUGGAACCCAGAGCUGGAAUGGAUCCCAGAGCCAGAAUGGAUCCCAGAGCUGGAACCCAGAGCUGGAAUGGAUCCCAGAUGCCAGAGCUGGAACCCAGAUUCCAGAGCCAGAAUGGAACCCAGAGCUGGAACCCGGAGCUGGAACCCAGAGCUGGAACCCAGAGCCAGAAUGGAUCCCAGAGCUGGAUCCCAGAUUCCAGAGCCAGAUCCAAGACCCAGAUCCCAGAUCCCAGAGCCAGAAUGGAUCCCAGAUCCAGAUUGGAUCCCGGAGCCAGAUUGGAUCCCAAAGCUGGGUCCUGGAUCCCAAGCAUGGCAUGGGGUUGCAGAAGGGCAGAUCCCAUCCUGGAUCCUGGAUUCCAGGACCAGAUUCCAUCCUGGAUCCUGGAUCCAGAUCCCAAUCCCAGAUCCAGACCCCAAUCCUGGAUCCCAGAUCCAGACCCCAGUCCCGGAUCCCAGGCCCAGAUCCCACCCUGGAUCCCAGAUCCACAGCCCGUGUCCGUGUGGCUGUGCCAGCCUGGCCUCACCAGGUGUGCCCGUGGUGGUUCUGGGGCUCCGUCCCGUCCCAGAUCCCAAACCGGGA